AGCUCUACUCUGCACAUCUGGAGGGACAGCACCUUGAUCUGCCCUGGAGCUGAAUUUACAACUCAAGAAGCAUAAGGACAGGGAAAUUUGAAAAUUCCACAGCUGGGCCAUGUGUAGAGGAAGCUGGCACUUAGGAAAAGAAAGAUGAUUAAUAUUGACAGACAAUGCAAGACAGCAAACUCUGACUCAAGACAGGCAACGAGGAAGUGAAUUUUAGCACCAGCAUCAGUAUGCUUUAGUUUGAAUGUGUCUCCCUCAGUUUACAUGUUAGAAACAUAAUCUUCACUGCCGCAGAGAUGAGGAGAAGCUCAGCCUUCAGGAAACGGUAAGGUCAUGCAGACAGUAAUAAACAGAAGUGGUUAUCAGGGAGGGGCUUGCUGAUAAGCAAGGUGAGUUAACCCCCUUCCCCCGAAAGUUUUCUAGUGUUCUUUUGCAACUUCAACCUGGGCCAUGGGAUGGUAUAGCAAGAAAGCUCUUUCAUAGAUAUGAGUUCACCCAAGUCUAAGUGGAUGAAAGCCUGAGUUUAUUUGGUUUACUGAUAGGAGUAUGGGUGGGGUCAAAAACAGUUAUAUCAUUAAAGAGUCCCACCCAUCAUGGGUGAUGACCUCUCAGAAACUGCAUUUUAGAGUCUUGCUUUCAUUUAACCUUCUACAUCCUAAAUAAUCUAGCAUUUCUUGAGACAAAGUUAUGGAGACUCCUUUUCUCUCCCCUCCUUCAACUGGGGAGUGCCAACCCCCAUUACCACUGUGGUAGACGCAGGAAUACCUGUACUGUUCUUCACUGCUCAGACUGUGGGGGGUAAAGCUAUCUCCUCCAGGAUGGCAGGGGAUGGUCAUGUUCAUUGGCAGGAAAAAAAAUCUAUACUACAAUGUCGAUCCAAGCAGUGGUAAGCCUCCAGAUCAACCUCAGCUCUCCCUUCAGCAGUUCAAGUGUGAGCCACCCUUGUGCUGACACCAAGCCUCCUGCAGAAGGACUCCAAGACUGACUAAACUAAAGCCCUUUGGUGUCCCCGAGGCGCAGCUGAAAUGCUUUCCUAAUAAAAUAUGCCAAAGGCUUAACUCUUCUAUUUGAAGCAAACUCAAGUAGAGAAUGCUAAUUAUCCUGUUUGAAUGUCUUGUAUAGAAAGACUUCUGUCUGCUCUUCCCAUAGUAAAAUAUGCAUAUGUAACCUGACAUUAGUGAGAAGAACACAAUGCAGGCAUUCUGACUCAAGGUAACCUCAUUCUUCCACCUGAAAGCAGGGAAAGGUAUCUUACAAACCUGGAAUGAAAGAGCUUAUUUGGAAGCACACCCCCCCCCCCCCCCCGGAGAAAACCAACUUCCAAAGAUACGAACAUAAAACCAAACUGCAGCCACUCUUGAGAGAAGUGACAGUCUCACUGAAUCUUUUAUGUAGGCAUCAGAAAGUGUCUCCGUACUUUAAAAAUCACUUAAAGGUUUUAAUGUUAUGCAUUUAUUUUGAAAACACACACUAUCUGCCCAGAGUUCAAAGUGCACCAAGAUGACCCCUCUCUCAUCCUGUUCUCAGGAACAACCUCUCUUCCUGGUGGUUUGUUCUCCUAAGGGAUGAUGGGAGAAUUCAGCACAGCAGGUAGUGGCACUUGUGUUUGGAAGAUUCUAGAUCAACCUCUUCCCCUGAAGACUAAAGUUACCUCUUCUCAUUUCUAUUCUCCCCGGACCUGCCACGCCCUGUGUUUGCUGUGGCCUGCAAUCUCAUUAUAAGUCACAUUUCUUUCGCAGCUUCCCCUCUGCAAAAUGUUGUUUAUCUUACCUCUAAACUGCAGCUUUGUUCUACAGAAUGUAAGUUUUACUAGAUUUUAUUGGUUUUUCCUUUUUCAGUACAUUUGCCCAUUUUAUUCUGAGUUUUAAAGUUUUGCCGAGAUUAUGCACUUUAUACAAAAAGCUCAUAUAGAGAAUCAAGAACUGUAAAGGGUCUGAGAUCUUAACCUACUUGCAAAGCAACACAUUAGCCUCCCACAGUCUAAUGGGUUCUGGUAGAAGAAAUGAGACUCCUGGGUCAAAGACAAAGCACAAUUUAUUGCUCAGAGCAGCAGCAGUAAUCAGGGCGUCAGCGUUUGUGCCACUUUCCCAAGCACUGGUUCCUACAGUGUGACAUCAAAGGGUAAAUGAUACUUCUUAGGUGGUUUAGUGUGCAGGGGCCUGCAGCUAAGGACUCCCAGGCUUCUAUGCCAGGGAGGGGAGUCAACUUACAUGGAGUUUUCCUGAAGGGAGUCUCUUUAUUAUACUGAGUAGUAGGCAAGUUUGCCUGUUAGUCUGGAGAAAACACUAUUUGUCUUCCAAUGCUGCUUACAUAAACAGUCUUGAAAAUGUAGUUCAUAAUACAAGUCUGUUCCUCAAUUUAUAAGAUUUCAGAAAUGUUCCUCCUAUUCCAAUCCCCUUCUCAUGUUGAUUCAUGAUUAUUUAUUCUUUUUUCCUUUACUAGGGAGGUCUAUCCGCCCCACUAGUCUAUAUUUCUGUUGGUCUAUAGAUUGUAGUUUGGUUAUCAUUGACUUAACAGCUAAUAUCCACAUAUAGGUGAAUACAUAUUCUAUUUGUCUUUCUGGGUCUGGGGUACUGGGUGACCAAAACAGGAACAAGAAUAAUACACCUUGUAAGUUAGUGGGAGACCAGAACAGGAGAAAUGGACCUUGUAGGCUAAUGGUUCUAUUUGCAGUUAAGACAGUUAAGAAUAAGUGGAUACAGAAAAUGUGGUACAUUUACACAGUGGAAUACUACUCUGCUAUUAAAAACAAUGACUUCAUGAAGUUUGUAGGCAA